rnacentral:rRNA from 1 species
CCUACGGGUGGCAGCAGUGAGGAAUAUUGGUCAAUGGUCGGGAGACUGAACCAGCCAAGCCGCGUGAGGGAAGAAGGUACAGAGUAUCGUAAACCUCUUUUGUCAGGGAACAAAGGCGGGGACGUGUCCCCGGAUGAGUGUACCUGAAGAAAAAGCAUCGGCUAACUCCGUGCCAGCAGCCGCGGUAAUACGGAGGAUUCGAGCGUUAUCCGGGUUUAUGGGGUUUAAGGGGUGCGGAGGCGGGCUGUUAAGUCAGCGGUGAAAGCCCGGGGCUGAACCCCGGCCCGGCGGUGGAGAUUGGCAGGCUCGAGUGGGAGAGAGGUAUGCGGAAUGCGCGGUGUAGCGGUGAAAUGCAUAGAGAUCGCGCAGAACUCCGAUUGCGAAGGCAGCAUGCCGGCUCCACACUGACGCUGAGGCACGAAAGCGUGGGUAUCGAACAGGAUUAGAUACCCGGGUAGUC